GGGUGACUAGUCUAGUGGUCAGGACGCUUCGUUGUGGUCUCCAAUGGACCCCAACUGAACCGAAGAAACCCCGGUUCGAUUCCGGGGUCGCCCA